rnacentral:ncRNA from 1 species
GUCCAACGUUAAUCGGGGCAGGGUUAGUCGGCCCCUAAGGCGAGGCUGAGAAGCGUAGUCGAUGGGAAACAGGUUAAUAUUCCUGUACUUGUUUGUAGUGCGAUGGGGGGACGGAGAAGGCUAGGCCAGCACGGCGUUGGUUGUCCGUGUUUAAGCUGGUAGGCAGAAGACUUAGGCAAAUCCGGGUCUUUAAUGCCGAGAAGUGAUGACGGUGACUCUACGGAGUCCGAAGUGGUCGAUGCCAUGCUUCCAGGAAAAUCCUCUAAGCUUCAGCUACAAAGAAACCGUACUCUAAACCGACACAGGUGGGUAGGUAGAGAAUACCAAGGCGC